AUUGAACGCUGGCGGCAGGCCUAACACAUGCAAGUCGAACGGUAACAGGAAGCAGCUUGCUGCUUUGCUGACGAGUGGCGGACGGGUGAGUAAUGUCUGUGAAACUGCCUGAUGGAGGGGGAUAACUACUGGAAACGGUAGCUAAUACCGCAUAACGUCGCAAGACCAAAGAGGGGGACCUUCGGGCCUCUUGCCAUCGGAUGUGCCCAGAUGGGAUUAGCUAGUAGGUGGGGUAACGGCUCACCUAGGCGACGAUCCCUAGCUGGUCUGAGAGGAUGACCAGCCACACUGGAACUGAGACACGGUCCAGACUCCUACGGGAGGCAGCAGUGGGGAAUAUUGCACAAUGGGCGCAAGCCUGAUGCAGCCAUGCCGCGUGUAUGAAGAAGGCCUUCGGGUUGUAAAGUACUUUCAGCGGGGAGGAAGGGAGUAAAGUUAAUACCUUUGCUCAUUGACGUUACCCGCAGAAGAAGCACCGGCUAACUCCGUG
rnacentral:rRNA from 1 species